CUUUUAAAAGUAUUUUAUUUGUCAAUCUCAGGCUCUGAUUAUCGACCAUUAAACUCACGUCGUGUUCCAGGACCCGAAUAUGAAUCGCUGAACACCACUUAUACUGGAAUGCAAAGAGAUACUUAUCAACCAUUAAAAUCACUUCCUGUAAGACAAGCCAUAGACUAUGGAUCAGUCCUCUUCCGGUCGAAAUCAAAACACAAUUCACAGGAGUCUGAUUCAUAUAGUGGCCUUUUGAGACGUAGCGGAGAUACUUUUCAGCCAUUAAAAUCACGUCCUGUAAGACAAGACUAUGGAUCAGUCCUCUUCCGGUCGAAAUCAAAACACAGUAAGAACAAAACAAAAUGCAGUGAGGACCUCUUAAUCAUAAAACUUGUUUGUUUGAGUUGGUUCCAUGCCUGACAUGAGAAACUAAUGCCUUUUCUAUUUUAGAUUCACAGGAGUCUGAUUCAUAUAGUGGCCUUUUGAGACGUAGCGGUAAG